UGGGGAAUUUUGGACAAUGGGCGCAAGCCUGAUCCAGCAAUGCCGCGUGCAGGAUGAAGGCCUUCGGGUUGUAAACUGCUUUUGUACGGAACGAAACGGCUCUGGUUAAUACCUGGGGCUAAUGACGGUACCGUAAGAAUAAGCACCGGCUAACUACGUGCCAGCAGCCGCGGUAAUACGUAGGGUGCGAGCGUUAAUCGGAAUUACUGGGCGUAAAGCGUGCGCAGGCGGUGAUGUAAGACAGAUGUGAAAUCCCCGGGCUCAACCUGGGACCUGCAUUUGUGACUGCAUAGCUAGAGUGCGGCAGAGGGGGAUGGAAUUCCGCGUGUAGCAGUGAAAUGCGUAGAUAUGCGGAGGAACACCGAUGGCGAAGGCAAUCCCCUGAGCCUGUACUGACGCUCAUGCACGAAAGCGUGGGGAGAUAACA
rnacentral:rRNA from 1 species